AUUGAACGCUGGCGGCAGGCCUAACACAUGCAAGUCGAGCGAGUGGCGGACGGGUGAGUAAUGUAUGGGGAUCUGCCUGAUGGAGGGGGAUAACUACUGGAAACGGUAGCUAAUACCGCAUACCAUCAGAUGUACCCAGAUGGGAUUAGCUUGUGGGUGGGGUAACGGCUCACCCAGGCGACGAGCCCUAUCUGGUCUGAGAGGAGGAGCAGCCACACUGGAAAUGAGACACGGCCCAGACUCCUACGGUAGGCAGCAGUGGGGAAUAUUGCACAAUGGGCGCAAGCCUGAUGCAGCCAUGCCGCGUGUAUGAAGAAGGCCUUAGGGUUGUAAAGUACUUUCAGCGGGGAGGCGUUACCCGCAGAAGAAGCACCGGCUAACUCCGUGCCAGCAGCCGCGGUAAUAC
rnacentral:rRNA from 1 species